UACAGGGGGGGCAAGCGUUGUUCGGAAUUACUGGGCGUAAAGGGUCUGUAGGUGGCCAACUAAGUCAGACGUGAAAUCCCUCAGCUUAACUGGGAACUGCGUCUGAUACUGGAUGGCUUGAGUGUGGGAGAGGAAUGCGGAAUUCCAGGUGUAGCGGUGAAAUGCGUAGAUAUUCGCAAGAACACCAGUGGCGAAGGCGGCUGACUGGUCCGGUUCUGACGCUGAGGCGCGAAAGCGUGGGGAGCAAACAGG
rnacentral:rRNA from 1 species